rnacentral:rRNA from 1 species
AACGAACGCUGGCGGCAGGCUUAACACAUGCAAGUCGAGCGCCCCGCAAGGGGAGCGGCAGACGGGUGAGUAACACGUGGGAACGUACCCUUUACUACGGAAUAACGCAGGGAAACUUGUGCUAAUACCGUAUGUGCCCUUUUUGGGAAAGAUUUAUCGGUAAGGGAUCGGCCCGCGUUGGAUCAGCUAGUUGGUGGGGUAAAGGCCUACCAAGGCGACGAUCCAUAGCUGGUCUGAGAGGAUGAUCAGCCACAUUGGGACUGAGACACGGCCCAAACUCCUACGGGAGGCAGCAGUGGGGAAUAUUGGACAAUGGGCGCAAGCCUGAUCCAGCCAUGCCGCGUGAGUGAUGAAGGCCCUAGGGUUGUAAAGCUCUUUCACCGGAGAAGAUAAUGACGGUAUCCGGAGAAGAAGCCCCGGCUAACUUCGUGCCAGCCGCCGCCGUAAAAC